rnacentral:rRNA from 1 species
GGAAGGAGAAGUCGUAACAAGGUUUUCCGGUGGUCCUUCUCUCGUUCGAGACUCACGGAAGCCUGAGCAAGCGUGCAUGCUAUUGGCGUCCUUGUGAAUAUUGCGUGCGAAACUGAAUGGGUAAUGCUCGUUGCGCAUACGAGGGUAACACGCGUGCAUGGCGUGUCGUUUGCUAGUGUCGCCGUUGGCGUUUUCUCGUCGUCGGCGAUGCGACGUCGUCAAAUUGCGGGAAGGGUCUCAUGCUCUGCUGGCACGCCGUGGGGAUACCAAGCGUGGCAGCGGUGGGGUAGGCRAAACUUGACGCUUUUACCCACCGUGAGCGUGGCCGAGCUAACGCCCUCGGGUACGGUAAAAACUCCUCCGGCGCCGACGGCCAUGUGUUGUCGGAGAGACUAACCUGCAGCCAAUCCCGCAUCUCUCGAGUGAAUCUUCUCGGGUAUCGGGAGCUGUCCACAGACUAAAUGGCGACGGGUCAAGAAUCCCCCACGCGUAGCAGCAAGUUGCGUGUUGGGGAGUACGGCUCAAGAUAUAGUCGGUUGCCCCUGCCUUUUAUUGGCGCGUCAUUCGGGCUGAUCAGCAGCGGCAGGAAUGCAUUUAUAAUGUGUUCUUCCACUCAAUCCGCAUGCGAAUUU